AGCAGCCGCGGUAAUUCCAGCUCCAAUAGCGUAUAUUAAAGUUGUUGCAGUUAAAAAGCUCGUAGUUGAAUUUCGGGAUCAGUUCGCUGGUCGUGCCUCUGGUAUGUACUGGUGUUUCUGGUUCCUCCCUUCUGAAGAACUGUCAUGUCAUUAAUUUGGUGUGGCGGGGAAUCAGGACUGUUACUUUGAAAAAUUAGAGUGUUUAAAGCAGGCUCGCGCUUGAAUACAUUAGCAUGGAAUAAUGAAAUAGGACGUUCGAUCCUAUUUUGUUGGUUUCUAGGAUUGACGUAAUGAUUAAUAGGGAUAGUUGGGGGCAUUAGUAUUCAAUUGUCAGAGGUGAAAUUCUUGGAUUUAUUGAAGACUAACUACUGCGAAAGCAUUUGCCAAGGAUGUUUUCAUUAAUCAAGAACGAAAGUUAGGGGAUCGAAGACGAUCAGAUACCGUCGUAGUCUUAACCAUAAACUAUGCCGACUAGGGAUCGGA
rnacentral:rRNA from 1 species